CAGAGGGAUCUCUUAUCUCCCAUAACUAGACCUUAUCAAGUUGUCAACAGAUUACUAUACCUGAAGAAAAUCAGCCAGCCAGUAGAUGGAAGGUCCAAGAAACAGAUUUCUGAGAUCUUAUUGACUUAUCUCCAUAUAGCAUAUAAUUUUUGUGAGUUCUUCAGGGUGUUGCCACAACUUUUCAAAUUGCUGGGGGCAGGAAGCACCCUGUGGUAUGAAGCAAUCGCUCGGCAAACCUUCCAGACCUGACGGUAUCACCUUGUGAUUCCCCAGCGGCUGGGUGGUCAGGAGUGUGCCUGGUUCCCUAGAAAAGAAGACGCCAGCACCCCCGGCUCUGUGGUUGAAAGCGGAUGUCCGUGAGUCCCCUCAUGUUUGACGCCCCAGCCCGGGAGAGGUGAAGCCUCGGCAUCGUGUAGUUAGACUUGAGGAUCAUGGCUGCGGGAAAGUUUGCAAGUCUUCCCAGAAACAUGCCAGUGAAUCACCAGUUCCCCCUCGCCUCGUCCAUGGACCUUCUGAGCAGCAAGUCCCCUCUCGCUGAGCGUCGUGCAGAUGCCUAUCAAGACGUGUCUAUACAUGGCACCCUUCCCCGGAAGAAGAAAGGCCCUCCUCCCAUCAGGUCCUGUGAUAACUUCAGUCAUGUGGGGACCCUCCCCCAUUCCAGAUCCCCACGGCAGCACUCACCUCUGAGCCAUGACAUCAUCCAGGAGCAGCCCCUGCAAGACUGGAAAGGUGAAGCCUUCACCUUCAGGGAUCAGCAUCUUCUGGACCCAACUCUGGAAUAUGUGAAG